rnacentral:ribozyme from 12 species
GAUGUAAUAGAGUGGUCAAAAGAAAUUGGGAGAGGGAUCAUAACAUCUCUAUUUUCUCCUUCUUUUCUCUCUUCAUCACCAUCAUCAUCGUCAUUUUUUAUUUCUUCUUUUUUCC